UACGUAGGGGGCUAGCGUUGUCCGGAAUCAUUGGGCGUAAAGCGCGUGUAGGCGGUUCGGUAAGUCUUCUGUGAAAGUCGGGGGCUCAACCCUCGAAUGCCGGUGGAUACUGUCGGACUAGAGUGCGGAAGAGGCGAGUGGAAUUCCUGGUGUAGCGGUGAAAUGCGCAGAUAUCAGGAGGAACACCAAUGGCGAAGGCAGCUCGCUGGGACGGUACUGACACUGAGACGCGAAAGCGUGGGGAGCAAACAGG
rnacentral:rRNA from 1 species